rnacentral:rRNA from 1 species
AGUGGACGCAUCACUGGUGUUCGGGUUGUCAUGCCAAUGGCAUUGCCCGGUAGCUAAAUGCGGAAGAGAUAAGUGCUGAAAGCAUCUAAGCACGAAACUUGCCCCGAGAUGAGUUCUCCCUGAGACUAUAAGUCUCCUGAAGGAACGUUAAAGACGAUGACGUUGAUAGGUCGGGUGUGUAAGUGUAGCGAUACAUUGAGCUAACCGAUACUAAUGAACCGUGAGGCUUAACCUU